CCUACGGGUGGCAGCAGUGAGGAAUAUUGGUCAAUGGUCGGGAGACUGAACCAGCCAAGCCGCGUGAGGGAUGAAGGUACAGAGUAUCGUAAACCUCUUUUGUCAGGGAACAAAGGCGGGGACGUGUCCCCGGAUGAGUGUACCUGAAGCAAAAGCAUCGGCUAACUCCGUGCCAGCAGCCGCGGUAAUACGGGGGAUGCGAGCGUUAUCCGGAUUUAUUGGGUUUAAAGGGUUCGCAGGCGGUCUGUUAAGUCAGCGGUAAAAGCCCGGGGCUCAACCCCGGCCCGCCGUUGAAACUGGCAGUCUCGAGUUGGAGAGAGGUAUGCGGAAUGCGCGGUGUAGCGGUGAAAUGCAUAGAUAUCGCGCAGAACUCCGAUUGCGAAGGCAGCAUGCCGGCUCCACACUGACGCUGAGGCACGAAAGCGUGGGUAUCGAACAGGAUUAGAUACCCGAGUAGUC
rnacentral:rRNA from 1 species